GAUGAACGCUGGCGGCGUGCUUAACACAUGCAAGUCGAACGGAAAUACUAUGUAGGAAUUGGAGAGUUUACUUGAAGAGGAAUUUUUAGUAUUUUAGUGGCGGACGGGUGAGUAACGCGUGGAUAACCUACCUUAUACUGGGGGAUAACACUUAGAAAUAGGUGCUAAUACCGCAUAAGCGCACAGAAUCGCAUGAUUCAGUGUGAAAAACUCCGGUGGUAUGAGAUGGAUCCGCGUCUGAUUAGUUAGUUGGUGAGGUAAUGGCUCACCAAGACAGCGAUCAGUAGCCGGCCUGAGAGGGUGAACGGCCACAUUGGGACUGAGACACGGCCCAAACUCCUACGGGAGGCAGCAGUGGGGAAUAUUGCACAAUGGGGGAAACCCUGAUGCAGCGACGCCGCGUGAGUGAAGAAGUAUUUCGGUACGUAAAGCUCUAUCAGCAAGGAAGAAAAUGACGGUACUUGACUAAGAAGCCCCGGCUAACUACGUGCCAGCAGCCGCGGUAAUAC
rnacentral:rRNA from 1 species